GUCCUGCCGCUCAAAAUGGCUUUGGACCAGGGCACCAGCCUCCAAAUGGCUAUGGACCGGGAGCAGAACCAGGUUUUAAUGGUGGCCUCGAGCCACAGAAAAUUGGUUUAGGUUAUGGGAAUGGUGUCCUGGGAGCCAGGGUCUUCCCCGAGGCCCACCCACAGCCAGGUGCCUGGGGAGCAGGGGUCGGGGUGGGAGAGUUGGGCUCAGGGCCCCAGCCCAGCCUCUGACACCCUCUUUCCUCCUCCAGGGUUCCAUGGGGCCAAUGGUUUUAGGAAUAGUGAGUCAGACCCAGGGGACAAAGUGCAGUGGAGUGGGGGAGACAACAGCCCAGGGGCUAGGCGGGAAUGACCAGAGUCUCUUGGAGGGGAUGGGGUGGAAGCUCUGGUGUACCCCAAAGCAGCAGCUCUAGCCCCUGAAGGAAAUGGGCAGGCCGGGGUGCUGUGGAACUCUCGCUGGCCCACCCUCCAGGCCUGGGGGGCCGGCUUGAAGCCUGGAUAUCAGGCUGGAGAUGAAUAUGCUGAGGCCAGGAGCCAGCCAGGGGGCCCCGACGUGAAGAGAGGCAGCAAUGGCCAGCUGGGGAAUGGCUACGGAGGCCGCUGCCCUCUGGGGAAAUGCUGAGCACUGCAAUGCCCCUCGCCUGCCCAGCAAGGAAGACAGACCCUUGGGCUUGGCCUCUGGUGCUGCCUGGCCGGGGGUCUCCUCCAUGCUAGAACCACAAACGUGCUUCCCUGCUUGCCUCCGCGUGCCAUGCAAGGGGCUUGCUGACCAGGGUGGGAGUGGCAUGGGCCUGCAGCCACCACCCAGCACCUCAUUCAUUCAUUUGGCAAACAUCAAUGAGGCCAUGUGCCAGGGACCAUGUUCCCAACAGGAGAAAUCAUGAGAAGAAAACAGACUCGAUCAACGCCUGCCCUCAGGGAGGGCAUCACUUGGUGACCGCCUAGCGGGGGAACCACAUCCAAGUUAGGGGCCUUGUGCAUGGAAAAGAACACUUCAUUCUUUGUGUUUUCAUUUAUAAUCGAUUUAUUAAAGUUGUUAGAUAAAAAUCUCAUUUUCCUUAAGCUUUUAUAGUGGCCUUCCAGAUAUUGUAUUGACUAAUAAUUUGGAUGUAAAACUCACUUUCACAAUCUUUGAUGAAUGCUUAAUUAGUUUAUAAAUUUCACAGCUCGGCCAGGCAUGGUGGGUCACGCCUGUAAUCCCAGUAUUUUGGGAGGCCAAGGCAGGAGGAUUGCUUGAGCCUACAAUUUAAAGACCAGCCUGGGCAAUAUAGUGAGACCCCCAUCUCUAUAAAAAAUAAAUAAGUAAAUAAAAACAAAUACGAAUUUCACAACUCGACUUUUCCCUAAAUAUUUUGCGUGCCUUAAAUGCCUGAUUAACGAAAUAGCCUUAGACAUCUCAAACAACAAUUAGAAACAUAAUCGACUUGACUCUCUUGAUUCUCUCUCUCUUUUUUUUUUUUUUGAGACGGAGUCUCGCUCUGUCGCCCAGGCUAGAGUGCAGUGGCGCAAUCUCGGCUCACUGCAAGCUCCCCCUCCCGGGUUCAUGCCAUUCUCCUUCCUCAGCCUCCCAAGUAGCUGGGACUACAGGCGCCUGCCCAGCUAAGUUUUUGUACUUUUAGUAGAGUCGGGGUUUCACCAUGUUAGCCAGGAUGGUCUGGAUCUCCUCCUGACCUCGUGAUCCGCCCGCCUCGGCCUCCCAAAGUGCUGUGAUUACAGGCGUGAGCCACCGCACCCGGCGACUCCCAUCUCCACAAAUAAAAAACUUAGCCUGGCAGGGUGGCGCAUGCCUGUAGUCUCAGCUACUUGGGAGGCUGAGGUGAGAGGAUUACUUGAGCCGAGGAGAUCGAGGCUGCAGUGAGCCAUGAUGGCACUACUGCACUCCAGCAUGGGCGAAAGAGCAAGAUCCUGUCUCAAAAAAAAAAAAAAAAAGUUUCUAUAUUCCAAUUUUGAAUAGAUUGACCAUUUUAUCCUUUUUGUUCUGAGCUACCAGAUUCGCACCCAUCUGUCAUUUACAAUUGUUCUUAGGAACUUUAACACAAAUGCUAAGUAUAUUAUCACCAAACUUUACUUUUGAAUUGUGAUAUCGUUUUAUCUUUCUUAUAAGAUAACUGAAUGGAAAUCUGUGCACCUUGACCCAUCCACACAGGAUCCUCAUACCUGAGUUGCAAUGGGUAAACAGCAACGAGAGGACAAUCUCACACUCCACAUCGGUGGCGUCGGGGGGCGGGCGCGGUGGGUCAUGCCUGGAAUCCCAGCACUUUGGAAGACUGAGGCCGGCGGAUCGCUUGAGCCCAGGAGUUCGAGACCAGCCUGGGCAACAUGGUGAGACUCCAUCUCUACACAAAAUAUAAUAAUUAGGCCGGGCGCGGUGGCUCACGCCUGUAAUCCCAGCACUUUGGCACGCCGAGGCGGGUGCAUCAUGAGGUCAUGAGUUCGAGACCAGCCUGGCCAACAUGGCGAAACCCCGUCUCUACUAAAAACACAAAAAUUAGCCGGGCAUGGUGGCGGGCGCCCGUAAUCCCAUCUGCUCAGGAGGC
rnacentral:lncRNA from 10 species